GGCUGUCAAGGUGGCUUGGCUGUGAUAUAUCACCCCGCCUACCGUCCAGGCCGAUGUGGAUGAUCUCACCGGCAGGGGGUGUCCUCCUCCUCCCUCACUGUUCCCCAAAUACCCCUCCAGGGAAAGGGACCUUCCCCCGCAGAGGAUGCCACCUCCUGGCCUGGGUCACACGGGCGACUUCGCUGCCUGGCUAGGACCUCCAAACAGGCUCUCCAAACCCGAAUAUGAAAAAGGACUGGGGAUGUAGGUGGAGGCAUAGAAUUAUAGAAAGAAAGCCAGGUGUGGUGGCUCACACCU
ensembl:misc_RNA 7SK 7SK RNA